rnacentral:rRNA from 1 species
AUGCAAAGAGUCAAUGUUGCUGCUACAGAAGCAAUGGAGACAGAUGGGCAGUCAAGUCGUGGGGGACGGGCUCCGGGCAGUACACAAGUACCUGCAAUUGUAGCAGCUGGGAGUGAUGCUCAUACCCUUGAUGGCAAAGGUGCCGCAGGUGAUACUGGUGGCACUGUUGGUAAUGGUUUGGGUGCUGAAAAUGAUGAUGAAGCUUGGUCACAGCCCAAGGAGCCUUAUGUGGGCAUGAGGUUCGACACUUUGGAAGAUGCCAAGGAGCAUUACAAUGCAUAUUCCUUGCAAAUGGGGUUUUCAAUCAAAAUGAAUAGUUCAAGGAAGGAUAUGAAAAUCGGGGAGUUGAUAAAACAACAGUUUGUUUGCAAGAAGUUUCGAAAGCCUGAUGUUGAUGACAGAGGGGCAGAAAAGAUUCCCGUGCUAGAUGACAUUGUUGAGCAAGCAAAAGAUGAUAAUGAAGAUGAGGCUAUUGUCUUUCUUGAUGAUGAUAGUAAAGGAAAAAAGAGGAGCAAGAAACGAAAAAGAGAUAAAAUUGUGCAAACUGGUUGCAAAGCUAAGAUGAUUGUGAAGGUAAUAGAUGGCAGAUGGGAGGUGAUCUAG